UCAAUUAUACGUUACUAAACUAAGCUACUUUACUGAACUACUUUAUACUUUAUGUCUUCUAUGCAUAUAACAUAUUAAUAUGACUCUAUUCCGCACUCUAUGCAAAAUUUGGCGAGAAGUGAUUAAUAAACUAAGAGACAUCUCCAUAUUUAUAUUAUAUUUAGUUUAGUUAUUUGAAGGUUUUUUAUUAGUUUUAAAAGCGGAAACGAAAAAGAUUCCCUACUUUAUAUAUUGAUCUGUAUAUCGUUUAUUCCUACGAAAUACUAGAUGAAAUAGAACGAUCUUAGAAGGGAUAUAAUGAAAUUCUUUGAUUGGUUCUUUCCAGAAAAAUGAUCCGUUUUAGUUAUUUAACCGAUAGGGACAACAAAUAAUUAAUUCUAACAAAUAUAAUGACACGACCCACCCCGAAUUUCACCCUGAAACCCAGAGUAAGUCGUGCGGGGACCACCUCCAAGGAAAAUUUACUGAAAAGAUUAAGAAAAUCUCCUUGCAGAUGGACAACCCUAACUCGAAAAUUUCAUAUUACACUCUUAAUUUAACACUUCUGAACAUCACAAUAAUAUACAAAAAUUCUAAAGUAUUCAGAGCUACUAAACACAAGCGGAAGCAAGAAAAACACGAGUAGGUUGAACAGGUAACCUAUUGGCGAAAACUGGCAGAAAUGCGGGUGACUAUGCCUCGUCUCCUACUAGAUCCAACCCGAACUCUGCAGACUGGGCAAUUUAAAACGAAUGGCCCAGGGGAAAACAUUUAAUAACGUUAGAGUGAGUGGACAAAAAUAAAAUAAUAAAUAAAAUAUUUAUGUUUCCCCAAAUUAAUUUCUAAGGAAAAAUCGAAGAGAGAGUUGGUGCGGCGGCCGGUGGGUGGCCGGACGGCGGCAGUCGACGGCUGGAAGUCCGGCGGGAAGAGAGAGCUCGGGGAGAGGAAAAGAAAAGAGGAAAAAAAAGAGAAAGGGAGGAAGAAAAAAAAAUGGGUUGGGCCUCCACCAGUCCAACCUAUCAACCCAAUUCCAAAAAAAUGAAACACCCCGAAAAAUAAUACCCGAAUAAAAAUUACCUUUUACUAGCUAAAAUUUACUAUUUUUACCGUCGUCGUAUUUUCCCCAUACGAAUAAUCCUCCGCACAUAAUCGUCCCCGAAACCCCUUUAGGGACCAAUAAAACUAUUUACACAAUGACGGAGACGGUAAAAUUCUUAUUAUAAUCAGGCUA
rnacentral:lncRNA from 1 species